GAUGAACGCUGGCGGCGUGCCUAAUACAUGCAAGUCGAGCGAACAGACGAGGAUCUUGCUCCUCUGACGUUAGCGGCGGACGGGUGAGUAACACGUGGAUAACCGACCUAUAAGACUGGGAUAACUUCGGGAAACCGGAGCUAAUACCGGACAAUAUAUUGAACCGCAGGGUUCAAUAGUGAAAGACGGUUUUGCUGUCACUUAUUGAUGGAUCCGCGCCGCAUUAGCUAGUUGGUAAGGUAACGGCUUACCAAGGCAACGAUGCGUAGCCGACCUGAGAGGGUGAUCGGCCACACUGGAACUGAGACACGGUCCAGACUCCUACGGGAGGCAGCAGUAGGGAAUAUUCCGCAAUGGGCGAAAGCUUGACGGAGCAACGCCGCGUGAGUGAUGAAGGUCUUCGGAUCGUAAAACUCUGUUAUUAGGGAAGAACAAAUGUGUAAGUAACUAUGCACGUCUUGACGGUACCUAAUCAGAAAGCCACGGCUAACUACGUG
rnacentral:rRNA from 1 species